rnacentral:rRNA from 1 species
AAGGAAUAUUGGACAAUGGGCGCAAGCCUGAUCUAGCCAUGCCGCGUGAGCGAUGAAGGCCUUAGGGUUGUAAAGCUCUUUCAGUGGGGAAGACAAUGACUGUACCCACAGAAGAAGCCCCGGCUAACUCCGUGCCAGCAGCCGCGGUAAUACGGAGGGGGCUAGCGUUGUUCGGAAUUACUGGGCGUAAAGCGCACGUAGGCGGACCGGAAAGUCAGAGGUGAAAUCCCAGGGCUCAACCUUGGAACUGCCUUUGAAACUCCUGGUCUUGAGGUCGAGAGAGGUGAGUGGAAUUCCGAGUGUAGAGGUGAAAUUCGUAGAUAUUCGGAGGAACACCAGUGGCGAAGGCGGCUCACUGGCUCGAUACUGACGCUGAGGUGCGAAAGCGUGGGGAGCAAAC